CAAUAGCGUAUAUUAAAGUUGUUGCAGUUAAAAAGCUCGUAGUUAGAUUUCUGGUGGGAGCGAUCGGUCUGGCGCUUAGCGCGAGUACUUGCAUCGUCUCCGGCCAUCCUUGGGGAGAGUCUGUCUGGCAUUAGGUUGUCGGGCAGAGGAUCCUCAUCGUUUACUGUGAAAAAAUUAGAGUGUUCAAAGCAGGCUUAUGCCGUUGAAUAUAUUAGCAUGGAAUAAUAAGAUAGGACUUUGGUACUAUUUUGUUGGUUUGCGCACCAAAGUAAUGAUUAAUAGGGACAGUUGGGGGUAUUCGUAUUCCGUUGUCAGAGGUGAAAUUCUUGGAUUUACGGAAGACGAACUACUGCGAAAGCAUUUACCAAGGAUGUUUUCAUUAA
rnacentral:rRNA from 1 species